rnacentral:tRNA from 1 species
GGCCUCGUAGCUCAGCUGGUAGAGCAUAAGCGGUACUAAAGCAAGGGUGGCAAACAUGCACGGGUUCGAAUCCCGCCGGGGUCA